UACGUAGGGGGCUAGCGUUGUCCGGAAUCAUUGGGCGUAAAGAGCGUGUAGGCGGUCCGGUAAGUCCGCUGUGAAAGUCGGGGGCUCAACCCUCGAAUGCCGGUGGAUACUGUCGGGCUAGAGUGCGGAAGAGGCGAGUGGAAUUCCUGGUGUAGCGGUGAAAUGCGUAGAGAUCCGGAGGAACACCAGAGGCGAAGGCGGCCUGCUGGGCUGCACCUGACGCUGAGCCGCGAAAGCCAGGGGAGCAAACGGG
rnacentral:rRNA from 1 species